GAUGAACGCUGGCGGCGUGCCUAAUACAUGCCAGUCGAGCGAACGGACGAGAAGCUUGCUUCUCUGAUGUUAGCGGCGGACGGGUGAGUAACACGUGGAUAACCUACCUAUAAGACUGGGAUAACUUCGGGAAACCGGAGCUAAUACCGGAUGAUAUUUUGAACCGCAUGGUUCAAAAGUGAAAGACGGUCUUGCUGUCACUUAUAGAUGGAUCCGCGCUGCAUUAGCUAGUUGGUAAGGUAACGGCUUACCAAGGCAACGAUGCAUAGCCGACCUGAGAGGGGGAGCGGCAAAACGGGAAGUGAGACAGGGUCAAGACGACUAGGGGAGGCAGCAGGGGGGAAUGUUCAGAAAUGGGAGAAAGACUGAAGGACCAAGGUCUGGUGAGUGAAGAAGGUCUUAAGAAAGUAAAACCCUGUUAAGAGGGAAGAAAAAAUGGGCAAGUAAAUAUGAAGUGCGGGACGGUAACUAAUAAGAAAGAAACGGCUAACUACGUG
rnacentral:rRNA from 1 species